rnacentral:rRNA from 1 species
GAUGAACGCUGGCGGCGUGCCUAAUACAUGCAAGUCGAGCGAACAGACGAGGAGCUUGCUCCUCUGACGUUAGCGGCGGACGGGUGAGUAACACGUGGAUAACCUACCUAUAAGACUGGGAUAACUUCGGGAAACCGGAGCUAAUACCGGAUAAUAUAUUGAACCGCAUGGUUCAAUAGUGAAAGACGGUUUUGCUGUCACUUAUAGAUGGAUCCGCGCCGCAUUAGCUAGUUGGUAAGGUAACGGCUUACCAAGGCAACGAUGCGUAGCCGACCUGAGAGGGUGAUCGGCCACACUGGAACUGAGACACGGUCCAGACUCCUACGGGAGGCAGCAGUAGGGAAUCUUCCGCAAUGGGCGAAAGCCUGACUGAGCAACGCCGCGUGAGUGAUGAAGGUCUUCGGAUCGUAAAACUCUGUUAUUAGGGAAGAACAAAUGUGUAAGUAACUAUGCACGUCUUGACGGUAUCUAAUCAGAAAGCCACGGCUAACUACGUG